UACGUAGGGUGCGAGCGUUAAUCGGAAUUACUGGGCGUAAAGCGUGCGCAGGCGGUUUUGUAAGCCAGAUGUGAAAUCCCCGGGCUUAACCUGGGAAUGGCAUUUGGGACUGCAAGGCUAGAGUGUGGCAGAGGAGACUGGAAUUCCUGGUGUAGCAGUGAAAUGCGUAGAUAUCAGGAGGAAUACCGAUGGCGAAGGCAGGUCUCUGGGCUAACACUGACGCUCAUGCACGAAAGCUAGGGGAGCGAACGGG
rnacentral:rRNA from 1 species